rnacentral:rRNA from 1 species
CGUACACUCCUACGGGAGGCAGCAGUGGGGAAUAUUGGACAAUGGGCGAAAGCCUGAUCCAGCAAUGCCGCGUGAGUGAUGAAGGCCUUAGGGUUGUAAAGCUCUUUUACCCGGGAUGAUAAUGACAGUACCGGGAGAAUAAGCCCCGGCUAACUCCGUGCCAGCAGCCGCGGUAAUACGGAGGGGGCUAGCGUUGUUCGGAAUUACUGGGCGUAAAGCGCGCGUAGGCGGCUUUGUAAGUUAGAGGUGAAAGCCCGGAGCUCAACUUCGGAAUUGCCUUUAAGACUGCAUCGCUAGAAUCGUGGAGAGGUGAGUGGAAUUCCGAGUGUAGAGGUGAAAUUCGUAGAUAUUCGGAAGAACACCAGUGGCGAAGGCGACUCACUGGACACGUAUUGACGCUGAGGUGCGAAAGCGUGGGGAGCAAACAGGAUUAGAAACCCUGGUAGUCCC